rnacentral:rRNA from 1 species
UACGUAGGGUGCAAGCGUUAAUCGGAAUUACUGGGCGUAAGCGUGCGCAGGCGGUUAUGCAAGACAGAUGUGAAAUCCCCGGGCUCAACCUGGGAACUGCAUUUGUGACUGCAUAGCUAGAGUGCGGCAGAGGGAGAUGGAAUUCCGCGUGUAGCAGUGAAAUGCGUAGAUAUGCGGAGGAACACCGAUGGCGAAGGCAAUCUCCUGGGCCUGCACUGACGCUCAUGCACGAAAGCGUGGGGAGCAAACAGG